AAGAUGGCGACCGGCGCACGGGUGAGUAACACGUAUCCAACCUGCCGAUAACUCGGGGAUAGCCUUUCGAAAGAAAGAUUAAUACCCGAUGGCAUAAUAGAACCGCAUGGUUUGAUUAUGAAAGAAUUUCGGUUAUCGAUGGGGAUGCGUUCCAUUAGGCAGUUGGUGGGGUAACGGCCCACCAAACCUUCGAUGGAUAGGGGUUCUGAGAGGAAGGUCCCCCACAUUGGAACUGAGACACGGUCCAA
rnacentral:rRNA from 1 species